rnacentral:rRNA from 1 species
UACGUAGGGUGCAAGCGUUGUCCGGAAUUAUUGGGCGUAAAGAGCUCGUAGGCGGUUUGUUGCGUCGGCUGUGAAAACCUGAGGCUCAACCUCAGGCCUGCAGUCGAUACGAGCAGACUAGAGUGUUGCAGGGGAGACUGGAAUUCCUGGUGUAGCGGUGAAAUGCGCAGAUAUCAGGAGGAACACCGGUGGCGAAGGCGGGUCUCUGGGCAACAACUGACGGCUGAG